UACGUAGGUGGCAAGCGUUGUCCGGAAUUAUUGGGCGUAAAGCGCGUGUAGGCGGCCAGAUAAGUCCGCUGUGAAAUCUCGAGGCUCAACUUCGAGCUGUCGGUGGAAACUGUCUGGCUAGAGUCCGGAAGAGGAGAAUGGAAUUCCUGGUGUAGCGGUGAAAUGCGCAGAUAUCAGGAAGAACACCCGUGGCGAAGGCGGCUCUCUGGAACGGUACUGACGCUGAGACGCGAAAGCGUGGGGAGCGAACAGG
rnacentral:rRNA from 1 species